rnacentral:misc_RNA from 1 species
GUAGAAUGUUCGGUCAGCCACUCACUCGUCUGAUGGGCAUGUGACGAAUACAUAAAUUUCUUUUCUUUCAUAAAAGUAGAUGUUCUAAGUAAAACCCUUCUAUUAUUCUUCCUUGAGAUUAAAAUUUCGAUGUCAGUUUCCUCCUCUAAAUUCCCAAGAUGGCCUCCUUCCCCAUGUAAUAAGCAUUCGAGGUGCAUGUAAUAUGGAUAGGAGACUGUAUAAAAGCUCCUCUGUUCUGCCCUGGCCAGUUGAUUGCCUACCGCUGCAACCAACCAAGAAUUUUUGAGCUUCACAGUUUUAUUCCAAGUUAGUUUACAGCUUCAUUGAUGAUAAGUUGCUUCUUCUUUAUCAGGUUUUGGUUAUGGAAAUUGGGUUUUCUUUAUCAAUUCAUGUUUUCCAGUCUGUUUAUGUUUAUGUAUAGCCUCUGCUUCUGAUACAUGCAUAUUCUUCUGGUUCAUAGUAACGUAAACAAACAUUUG